AGGCAAAGGCCUCCUGCAACCACAGCCUCCAGCUUUCCUGCUCCACAUACUGGCGCAUCCAGUUGGACCUGCAGACACAGAGCCACUUCUGAAGUUGUGCAAGGCUGAAAAAGACAGGCCACCUGCAAGCCUGGUCACUCUGUGGCCUGGCAGCUUGACCACCAUGUCCGUGCCCCCGUGCCUGGGACUCUGUGGGACUUUCGGCACCAGGUUCCUUUCCACAGGAGGGAGAGAGGCAGCCUCUGCUUCUACCGCAGAUAACCCUUCAGAUGACAUCAAAAAUGUAUGUGAAGUUAUGACUAACCAGCCAGGAUAAUGAGAACUAAAAGGAGGCUAUCUCCUUGUGGUAACCUGAUUGCAAGAUGUGUUCUACGUAAAAACGACAACGCCUCUAGCAGCAAAGUACUUAGGGGAAAAGCAAAGGAAAAAGGAAGUCUCUCUUGACUCAUCAAAAAAAUACGAAUGAAUAAAGUGAAGUUUAAGGAACAGAUAAAUAAAAGAAUGUCAAAUGUUACUGAGAAGAGAGAAAAGUUUCAACAAUGAAAUAAAUUAUCUAGUUCAGAUGAUCUGAAAGAGAAAGAGAGUCUAGAUGACUGAAAACACGUGCCUAGGGGUGACAGAAGACUAAGGGAAAAAAGUAGAUUCUGGAAGAAACUAAAAAAUAUGACUCGACAUAAGAAAUGGGGAAGUUGGUUUUAAAAGUUGAGACAGAGAAAUAAAAAUGCCUUACAUUUCA